AACGAACGCUGGCGGCAGGCCUAACACAUGCAAGUCGAGCGCUACCUUCGGGUGGAGCGGCGGACGGGUUAGUAACGCGUGGGAACAUACCUUUCGGUAAGGAAUAGCCACUGGAAACGGUGAGUAAUACCUUAUACGCCCUAUGGGGGAAAGAUUUAUCGCCGAGAGAUUGGCCCGCGUUAGAUUAGAUAGUUGGUGGGGUAAUGGCCUACCAAGUCUACGAUCUAUAGCUGGUUUUAGAGGAUGAUCAGCAACACUGGGACUGAGACACGGCCCAG
rnacentral:rRNA from 1 species